GGGGGGGGGGGGGGGGGGGCGGGGGAGGGGCGGGGCGGGCGGGGGGGCGCGGCUUGGGGGGGGGGCGGGAGGGGCGAACGGGUGGGGGACACGUGAGUAACCGGCCCUUGACGGGGGGAGAACUUCAGGAAACGGUGGCUAAUACCGGGUAGGAGCUCCUGCUGCAUGGUGGGGGAUGGAAAGGUUGGGCGGUUGGGGAUGGACUCGCGUCUGCGCAGCUUGUUGGUGGGGUAGUGGCUUACCAAGGCUUUGAAGGGUAGCCGGCCUGAGAGGGUGACCGGCCACAUUGGGACUGAGAUACGGCCCAGACUCCUACGGGAGGCAGCAGUGGGGAAUAUUGCACAAUGGGCGGAAGCCUGAUGCAGCAACGCCGCGUGCGGGAUGACGGCCUUCGGGUUGUAAACCGCUUUCGCCUGUGACGAAGCGUGAGUGGCGGUAAUGGGUAAAGAAGCACCGGCUAACUACGUG
rnacentral:rRNA from 1 species